rnacentral:rRNA from 1 species
GUGCUUAACACAUGCAAGUCGAACGGAAAGGCCCCUUCGGGGGUACUCGAGUGGCGAACGGGUGAGUAACACGUGGGUGAUCUGCCCUGCACUUUGGGAUAAGCCUGGGAAACUGGGUCUAAUACCGAAUACACCCUUCUGAUCGCAUGGUCUGGGAGGGGAAAGCUUUUGCGGUGUGGGAUGGGCCCGCGGCCUAUCAGCUUGUUGGUGGGGUGAUGGCCUACCAAGGCGACGACGGGUAGCCGGCCUGAGAGGGUGUCCGGCCACACUGGGACUGAGAUACGGCCCAGACUCCUACGGGAGGCAGCAGUGGGGAAUAUUGCACAAUGGGCGCAAGCCUGAUGCAGCGACGCCGCGUGGGGGAUGACGGCCUUCGGGUUGUAAACCUCUUUCAGCAUCGACGAAGCGCAAGUGACGGUAGAUGCAGAAGAAGCACCGGCCAACUACGUGCCAGCAGCCGCGGUAAUACGUAGGGUGCGAGCGUUGUCCGGAAUUACUGGGCGUAAAGAGCUCGUAGGUGGUUUGUCGCGUUGUUCGUGAAAUC